rnacentral:rRNA from 1 species
CCUACGGGCGGCAGCAGUGAGGAAUAUUGGUCAAUGGACGGAAGUCUGAACCAGCCAUGCCGCGUGCAGGAAGACGGCUCUAUGAGUUGUAAACUGCUUUUGUACAAGGGUAAACCUGAAUACGUGUAUUCAGCUGAAAGUACUGUACGAAUAAGGAUCGGCUAACUCCGUGACAGCAGCCGCGGUAAUACGGAGGAUCCAAGCGUUCUCCGGAUUUAUUGGGUUGAAAGGGUGCGUAGGCGGAUUGAUAAGUUAGAGGGGAAAUGUCCGAGCUUAACUCGGGAACUGCCUCUAAUACUGGUGAUCUAGAGAGUAGAUGCGGUAGGCGGAAUGUAUGGUGUAGCGGUGAAAUGCUUAGAGAUCAUACAGAACACCGAUUGCGAAGGCAGCUUACCAAUCUAUAUCUGACGUUGAGGCACGAAAGCGUGGGGAGCAAACAGGAUUAGAUACCCGUGUAGUC